GACGAACGCUGGCGGCGUGCUUAACACAUGCAAGUCGAACGGAAAGGCCCUGCUUUUGUGGGGUGCUCGAGUGGCGAACGGGUGAGUAACACGUGAGUAACCUGCCCUUGACUUUGGGAUAACUUCAGGAAACUGGGGCUAAUACCGGAUAGGAGCUCCUGCUGCAUGGUGGGGGUUGGAAAGUUUCGGCGGUUGGGGCUGGACUCGCGGCUUAUCAGCUUGUUGGUGGGGUAGUGGCUUACCAAGGCUUUGACGGGUAGCCGGCCUGAGAGGGUGACCGGCCACAUUGGGACUGAGGUACGGCCCAGACCCCUACGGGAGGCAGCAGUGGGGAAUAUUGCACAAUGGGCGGAAGCCUGAUGCAGCAACGCCGCGUGCGGGAUGACGGCCUUCGGGUUGUAAACCGCUUUCGCCUGUGACGAAGCGUGAGUGACGGUAAUGGGUAAAGAAGCACCGGCUAACUACGUG
rnacentral:rRNA from 1 species